UGCAUGGCACUUGCAUCCAUAUGCCAUGUAUGUGUGUGUGUGUUUGUUUGUAUGCACGGUGUACCUGUGGAGGUCACAGGGCAACCUUGGAUAUUGGCCUUUGACUUUUACCUUGCUUGAGGCAGGGUUUCUUGUUCCCACUGUGACCUUCUGUGGAUUCUCCUGCCUCAGCCUCCCUUCAUCUUGUGGAAGCACUGAGAUUAUAGAUCUAUUCUGCCCCAUCUGGCUUUACAUGGGCUCUGGGGAUUUGAACUAAGAUCCUUAUGUGUGUGUGGCAAGCCCACCAGGCUGCCUCCCUAAUCAUCAUACUGAAAUGUAGUUGUCACUGUAACAGUAGCCACUGUGCCUUAUGACCACUGUGUGCUCAAUGCCCCACAUAGCACCCAACACACACUGGGUCUACACCAACGUGGCCAGACUGAAAAAAGAGGGGAUAGAUGAGGCUCAGGGUCAGUGAUGGAUAAUUUACUGAAGUCAUAGGAAGACAAAUGUAAUAAGGUAGAAAUAAAGUCAGACCCUCUGUCAGUCUCCAUCCAGGAGGGCUUGAAAGGGCCCAGCAGCUGCCCAGUGACAACUGUCAUCGCUCACCCAGUGAUCUGUUAAUCAGGGCAGGUAGCAACAUCCCUGUUCCUACCCACUAGAUGUCAGUAGCAACCUCCAAUCCUUCCAGUUGUGACAACAGAAAUGCCAGGAGAUGUCAAAUAUUCCCCACAGGACAGCAGUGCCCCACUGAGAUCCACGGAGUUACAGUGACUUCAUUGCACAGCUGUUCCAUCAGGUCCCAGGCAGGUGACACCCACAGGCUAGCAAAGAAAAUGGUGGGAGAGGGGAGCUUGCAACUUAGCUGCGACGAAAUGAGUCAUCUGGGACUCUUCCUGCAGAUACUACCCCAUGACAGGACCUGGGAGAGCAAAAGCAAAGCCUUGGAAUCCCUGUGAGUUAUCCAACAGGCUUCCAAGUGUAACUGGCUUGACCCACGCUACCAUCUCGUCAGCAAGAACGCACGCAGGACACUCGGAUCCGUCUGCAGUAAAGCUUUAAUGAAUCUCAAGAGAUAGAUGAUCAGCUUCAGGAGAGGAGACCCAGAGAGCAGAAAACCCUUCCCUUAUAUAGGCUGCGAAGUAAGUUUGGAGACGUGCACUAGCCGGAUUGGCUGCCCACCAUCAGCCAGAUGACGCCAUGGGAGAGGCAGGGCUCAGGUAAUGGAAAGAUACCCUGACGCCUGCGCACACUACUUGUUUUUCACCACGAGCAACAGAUGUCAGCGCCAUUUUGUAAUGGCGACCGUGAGGGCGGCUCCUCACACUGGCUAGUUUUGUGUCAACUUGACACAGCUGGAGUUAUCACAGAAAAAGGAGCUUCAGUUGAGGAAAUGCCUCCACGAGAUCCAGCUGUGGGGUAUUUUCUCAAUUAGUGAUCAAGGGGGAAAGGCUCCUUGUGGGCGGGACCAUCGCUGGGCUGGUAGUCUUGGUUCUAUAAGAGAGCAGGCUGAGCAAGCCAGGGGAAGCAAGCCAGUAAAUAACAUCCCUCCAUGGCCUCUGCAUCAGCUCCUGCUUCUUGACCUGCUUGAGUUCCAGUCCUGACUUCCUUGGUGAUGAACAGCAGUAUGGAAUUAUAAGCUGAAUAAACCCUUUCCUCCC